UGCGCACACAAGAAAUGGGAGUUUUUGUCCAUCUUACAUUUAGAAUUACGCGUAAAGUGGUAUUACUCAUUAACCAAACAUAUUAAAGACCUAGGGUCUUUUGAUUUAAGGUCCUUGGUUUGUGACCUUGAAAUUGAGGUCAAGGUCAUAGGUUUAUACAACGUUCUAGAUUUUGACCUUUGCUUUAAAUUCAUAUAAAUACAUCAUAAAGCCAUAGGAACUAACAUUUUAAACUGAUUUUUCAUAUUUCAAUAUCAAAAUAGAUCUUUACUAGUGGAAAGACCUACAAUUGUUCUCUGAACAAUUGGUUUUUAUUUAUAUUAUUAGGUCUUUCAACCUUUCAGUUGAAAGACCUAUAGGGUUUGUUCUGAUUAUUAUUAGGUCUUUCAACCUUUCAGGUGAAAGACCUAUUGUUUUUGUUCUGAUUAUUUUUUUUUUUUCUUCCGCCAAAUUU
rnacentral:lncRNA from 1 species